UCCAAGUUACUUCUCUUGUCAGAAAACAGACGGGAUCAUUGCUUUGUUCUGCAGCCCUGUUAUCUUUGGCUGUGUGAUAAGGAACUCCACAGAGUUUCCCUAUCUGGAGGAAGAAGAAAGACAACCCCAAGUAAAUAGCUCUCAACCCAGCGUCGAUCCCACUGUCAUCAUCGUCACACUAAAUAAAGGAGUAUCUGUUAGAGGGAAAAGGAAAAGGAGAGAAUGGGUCGCCAACCGUCACACCAGAGGAACACGAACCAAAAGGCAGACGAGUCCUGACGGUUGAUUACACUAGGCUGAAGCCGCAGGAUUCAGCCUGCGGCUGUGGUAACGAGAAUCAGAGGCAUAAUAAAUCCUCUCACCUGUGCAACGGGCCGAUCAGUAGUCCACCUGAAAGGCCGAAGAAAGAAGAACAACCGAGAAGGAGAUCGCCACGUCAACACAAAGGAGUGGUAACAAAUUAAGGAGAAAAAGAAAGGAGAAAAUUUAUGUAAAAGAGCAAAAGUUUAUGCUAAAAAUAUAAAUCUCACACAACACAAUGCACUCACACGAAUCAGAUACACGUCAUGGGACACGUGAAGAGAAGAAAUUGGUAAAAAUGCUCCUCACAACCACAUGCUUGCUAUAUCAGAUAGUAUUACUUAUGGCCGUGUGUUUUCUUGUGUAUUUCUUGCAGACCGCCCCACGUGACCUGUCUGAACACGGAGGCCAGUCCAGCCCACCACCAACUGAGAAACUGAAUACUGGGAUGUGGCCAUGGAAAAGACCAAAACGUGAGGUGUCAGGUAAAAGGGAUGAUUGUCUCAAGUUGUUACUGCGAUAGUAAUGUUUAACGCUCAUAAGAAGGCUCAUAGGAUCGAUAAACCAGAUGAAUUAGACUUCGUGCAAUAUCCAUGACAUCAAUCAAAAAAUCAGCCAGCUGUUCUUCUGCUAUUACCAUAGUUGUGCGAUAUUCAUAGGGAACAUCCACUGUUUCACAGGAAAUAAAAACCUCUAUUGCAAUACCUUCAGGUACUGGUCUUAAACUAACUGCCACAAAUACUUCGGCUAAAUUACCCUCCAAUUCGGACCAAGGGAUGUCAGGACCAUCCAUUGGUUAUAUAUAUUUAAAAGGGGACCCUGCUCAAAUCUUCCUCUCUAUUUUCUCAAUAUUUUAACUUAACAUUACCUCCUAUCUCAUUCACUCUUCGAGUUCUGGAUCAGUGCACACGAGUGUCCCAGUUUAAAUUUAAAAGAGGAAGUCACACUCAAUA